AAAUAGACCUUUAGUUCAAACUAAGCAAAAUUGAACCAAAAAUAGAAUGUAUUCAUCCACACACGUGGUGGAGAAUGCGGGCAAAAUCAUAAAAAUAUGUUUUUGCUCACAAUUUCAAGUUUAUAUAUUGCAAUUCUGUUUACAUCUGUUUAUCGUUUGUUUGCUUCUGCAAGGAAUAAAUAAUAAAACAAGUAAUUGUGCCUUUUUAAGUAAUUUUGACUUUAUUUCUUGAGUUUCUCGCAAUUCUAAAUUUGGAUUCUAGUUUUUCCUCUAAGUUGUGUGAAAAAUGUCUGAAUUAUGAGAUAAAAAGUCACAACACACCUUGCAGAAUCUGCAAAAUGUUAAUUACUAAAAUAGGAGGGAUCAUACAAAAUGCAUGGUAUUUUUUAUUUAGUACUGACCUGAAUAAGAUAUUUCACAUAAAAGACAUUUACUUAUGAUCCACAAGAGCAUAUGCAACUAUUACAGAAGGUUCAAACGCUCACUGAUGCUCCAAAAGGAAAAAUGAUGCAUUAAGAGCCGGGGGUGAAAACUUUUGAACUAAAUAAGGAUGUGUACAUUUUUCUGAUCUUGCCUAAAUAUCAUAUAUUUUUUUUCAUUUAGUGCUGCCCUUCAGAAGCUACAGAUGAUGUUCCCCUGAAGAUAAAAUCAGUUAAAUUUACCCUGAUCUUCAAAUUCCAAAAGUUUUCACACCCCAGCUCUUAAUGCAUCGUGUUUCCUUCUGGAGCAUCACUCUCGGGGGUGAGCUGUGUUUGGAUGUCCACUCUGCAGAUGGGACACUUCCUACUGGUGGCCAACCACUGGUCCACACACGCCUGAUGGAACAAAUGCAUACAGGGUAACCGCCUGGAAACACAGAGACAGAUAAAAGCAUGGAGAGGCAGAUGGUGCAUUUCUCAUCCACAUCCGACUCUUCCUCACUCUCACAUAACUUCAGAUCCAGCGGCUUCCGCUACACACACACACAAAU